GACGAACGCUGGCGGCGUGCUUAACACAUGCAAGUCGAGCGGUAAGGCCCCUUCGGGGGUACACGAGCGGCGAACGGGUGAGUAACACGUGGGUGACCUGCCCUCAGCUCUGGGAUGAGCCUGGGAAACUGGGUCUAAUACCGGAUAUGACUCCAUGACGCAUGUCGUGGGGUGGAAAGCCUUGUGCGGCUGGGGAUGGGCCCGCGGCCUAUCAGCUUGUUGGUGGGGUGAUGGCCUACCAAGGCGACGACGGGUAGCCGGCCUGAGAGGGCGACCGGCCACACUGGGACUGAGACACGGCCCAGACUCCUACGGGAGGCAGCAGUGGGGAAUCUUGCGCAAUGGGCGAAAGCCUGACGCAGCGACGCCGCGUGAGGGAUGACGGCCUGGU
rnacentral:rRNA from 1 species